CUCCCCUCCACUCAUCCGACGGCGACUAGAUGCGAAAACAACCGGCGACCAACAUCACACAAAGGUCGCCACCGCCGGCGGUGGAAGGACAGUCUUCUCCCGCCGCUAGCCGCAGCCUCCGCCUCGCCCUGAUCCUCGGCCUCCUCGACCGCCGCUCGCUCUCCUCGGAAGCACCUCGCCACCUCCCUGCCCAUGCCGUGUUCGCCGACUGCCCUGCUCGCGCCGACCUCGCCAAUCUCGCGGCCGCGCUUGGCAGUGCUCGACUUGUCCUCGCCGCCGCCAGCGGCGACGGGUCCUUCCCGUGCCUCUACCGCCUCGUGGCUGAGUCCUCCUCUCCCCAAAUCGACACCCGUCCAUUUGUCGAGCCUUCCGUGCCAGCGACAUGAGCAGGAUGGUGUACACCGACUUCACAGACAUGUGGCCGUCGAGGCUUCAGAUGAGGUCGACGCGGAUGAGAACAGUCCAUAGAGCCGUACCAGGCAGAACAAGCUGUUCCACGCAUGGGGUCUGAUUACAAUAUUUUCGGAGAUGCAUAAUAUGCCAAACACUUCUCAAGGUGCCUCGUCCAUGGGCGCAUGAUAGUGGAAAAACAUCUGUAAAUUGUGCAGGAUCCUAUAGAGCAAAUGGGCAUCAUCGACGUGCAGUACACGCUCUCUUAGGAAGAUAAGUAACCUCAGACAAGUUAUUUUGUGAAGAUCGGUGGUUCAUGGUCUGAAUUUUUUGUUUUUCUCUCUAAAUUUUGUACUUAGAUAAUCCCUUAAAUGCUUUUUACUGCUUGAUCACAUAAUACAUGUCCAUGCAAGAAAGGAGUUGUUAACUGAAACAAUAAUGUUAUUUUUUGUUGUUAACUGAAACAAUAAUGUUAAUUUAUGUUAACUACAAACUGUCUUGGACAUUGGUUUUUUCAAAUUAACUCCGUGUUGAACUGGUUCUUCUUGUUGUGUGCUGCAGCCCAGCAAUCUGUUCAUGCCAAAUGAUUGAGUCCUGGUGAGGUUCAUUGCUAGACAUGCACGGUCUCCGCAGGCAAGGAACACAUAAACGUAAAUCAGCGUGUUAUCAGAAACUCAUGAGCAUGAAAGAGAAAUUUGGAUCAUGUGCGAACAUGGGUAGAGAGCAGAUCGAGGAGAACUUGAAGAUUAAAGGCAAUGAAAGGUCUAUACACAUUAGCAUCCGAACCAGAACAAUCAAGUUCAAAGCUCUCAUGGUUGACUGGAGGUUCCGUAAAAUGGCAGCGGGUAGAGUUCUUGUCCUGCACAAAGGAAGGUAUAUGCCUCGCUAGCACACAAGAACAGUCAGGACCAUGUACGAAUCGGACGAACAGUUGGGGCUAUGUCACACCACCAAUCGAACAGUUCCGCGCCGGGACCCGUGUCUCGCUCGCAGCCGCGCCGGCACCCGUGGAUCGCUGGAAGCCUCGCCGGCACCCGUGUCUCGCUGGCAGCCGCGGCGGCACCGGGGGCAAAGUUUGAGGAAACAUGCCUACCUGAUCCGGCGGCAAACUUUGAAGAAACAGUUCAAAUCCACAUGAUCCGGACACAAACCUGGAAGCGUGGAGAAUCAGGCCUUGACUGCCACGCUCGAAAGAUAGGAUUUGAAAAUUAUUUGUUGUAUAUGGAAAGUGCAAAAAUAUUAGAUUAAACUGUUGUUUAUGGAAGCUUCUCGUGACGGAAUUUUCCGAUAUGAUUCCAUAUGAUUUGAUUUGAUUGGUGUCGUAAAUUGAAGGGAAGGAUGGAAGGUUUGUUGUUUUAUAUGGAAGGGGAUGGAACGUUUGGCUU